rnacentral:tRNA from 1 species
AAAGCUCUAGCUUAAUUAAAGCGCCUGUUUUGCAUGCAGGAGAUGUGAGUU